rnacentral:rRNA from 1 species
UGGGGAAUAUUGGACAAUGGGGGCAACCCUGAUCCAGCAAUGCCGCGUGUGUGAAGAAGGCCUUCGGGUUGUAAAGCACUUUUAUCGGGAACGAAACAUUGUCGGCCAAUACCCGGCAAGACUGACGGUACCCGAGGAAUAAGCACCGGCUAACUCCGUGCCAGCAGCCGCGGUAAUACGGAGGGUGCAAGCGUUAAUCGGAAUUACUGGGCGUAAAGCGUGCGCAGGCGGUUUUGUAAGACAGAGGUGAAAUCCCCGGGCUCAACCUGGGAACUGCCUUUGUGACUGCAAAGCUGGAGUGCGGCAGAGGGGGAUGGAAUUCCGCGUGUAGCAGUGAAAUGCGUAGAUAUGCGGAGGAACACCGAUGGCGAAGGCAAUCCCCUGGGCCUGCACUGACGCUCAUGCACGAAAGCGUGGGGAGCAAACA